AUUGAACGCUGGCGGCAGGCCUAACACAUGCAAGUCGAGCGAGAAAGGUCUUCGGACUGAGUACAGCGGCGGACGGGUGAGUAAAGCGUAGGAAUCUACCUGGUAGUGGGGGAUAACUUGGGGAAACUCAAACUAAUACCGCAUACGCCUACGGGGAAAGGCGGGGACCGUUCGGCCGUCGCGCUAUCAGAUGAGCCUGCGUAGGAUUAGCUAGUUGGUGAGGUAAAGGCUCACCAAGGCGACGAUCCUUAGCUGGUCUGAGAGGAUGAUCAGCCACACUGGGACGUGAGACACGGCCCAGACUCCUACGGGAGGCAGCAGUGGGGAAUAUUGCGCAAUGGGCGAAAGCCUGACGCAGCCA
rnacentral:rRNA from 1 species